UUGAAAGGAAUUGAAAGCAAGGAUUUAAGAGUAUUCUUUUCCUUUCAUUUCCUCUUUUUCUUUUACCGAAUAUGAGAAAGUUUUUCCUUUCUUUUCCCUCUAAAUCCUUCCUGCCAAACAAAGCUUUAGUGGCCACCGGCAGUGAGUAUAUCCCCUGCAUGCAGUGUUAGGGUUUUAUGGGACAAAGAAAACCAGAGCAAAAAGAGAGAGAAAAGCCAUGCAUUUGAAGCUUGUACAGUUGUAUAUAUGCCGAAAAUGUUACAGAAUUAGAUACAGGUAAUUCCAUGUUAUCAAAUGAAGGGGCGGCAAAAGUGCUUCUGGUAGCAGUAGCUUCUUCAGCAUCACCAUAUAGUCCUUGUUCUUCAAAGUCAGCGAAAUAACUCUGAUUUUCAUCUGCCGGGUCAUUGUUCCCUUCUUGAAUUUGGUUGUUGACCUUGUUAGUAUCUUCUACUAUGUCGGUUCCAUUUGUCUCAUUGGACCUAGAUACUUUUCUCUCCUUUUGGACAUCUAUGUUUUUUGACUCUCUAAUGUGUCUUUCACUGUCUAGCUCAGUGAUAUCACUGCUGUCAUAAUUUUCUUGAGCUUGGUUUGCUUUUUCUGUUGACAUAGACACCACAUUGCUAACAUCAAUGGAGUUCUUGAACUGGUCAUCCUGUUGGGGGUUGUGUUCUCUGCUUAUCACACUGAAAAUAGCCUCAUUUGUUAUUUUACUUGCUUCUGGCGCCGAUUUAUCAUUUUGCUGUUUUGGCAGCUUAUGUGGCUCCUCGCUAAUCUCUUCUGGUGUGUUAGAUGGCCUUUCCCUGACAACAUCCUCACUUGUAGUUUCAGUAUCUUGCUUGGUAUUAGAAACUUCUUCGGCUGUUUCAUCUUCUAAGAAUUUCUCUAAAAGCUGCUCGCCAUUCACUGAAUCCUUGUCCUUGUUUUCUAUCAAUUUGGAGACUUUAUCGGUGUCUGCAGUGCAGUUGCAUAAUUUUCAUCAGUACAACAACCUAUUGUUGAGCAAUCGUCUUUUGCUGGGGCAAUAUUGAAAUUAUGUUCAUCUUUUGUUUUGUAUGAAAUCGCCACUCUCAAGAAGGUUUUAAUUGUUUCAAUUUUGUGAGUUUGUUCACUUUAUUUUUCUUUAGUAAAAGGAAAAUGACUUUGUAUAGUAGCGUGAAUAAUCUCAUCCUUUUGGUCAUCAUUCUCUCCAGCCUCUAUAACUUAUAGUGUUAAUAAUGAACUUUAUCUAUAUCUUCUUUCUAAUAUUGGGCUCUAGUUUGGUGCUAUAAUAAAUCAUGAAUUAAUAAAGAAAUGAAACUUUAAAAUUACUUACUGGCUAUUCUGUUUUCUUUGUUUUCAGAUUCAGUUAGUUCUUCCUGAAUUUGUGUCGCUUGUGUCUCUGGUUCUGUUUCCACAAUCUCUGGAAUUUUUUCCUCUUUUGUUAUAUGUGUUCCAAGGCCCACAAUCAUUUUCUGUGUCUCUACUUCAGACUUUCUAUCUGAACUUGUGAAUUCUGUGUUUUUACUUGCUUCAGAGGCUAGUGCAUCAUCAAGUUUCUCCUGUGAUGAAUCUUCAAUUUCUUGUUUCUCUUGUUCUUCAGGUUGCGAUUCGGAGCCAACAUCUUCCUUGCCACACCUUUUCUUUUUAGCGAUUGUAUUAUCUCCAACACAUGAAUCAUCUUCAUUCAGAGAUAUCAUGCUCUGUUUGAAGUCAGUUGUUCCUUUGAGAUUAGCCUCAGCAGUAAUCUGCAAGAAAUUUAAAUAUUGCAAUAUUCUAUCUUAUUGAGGGGACAUUAUUUAAGUGGAAUACUGGAAGAGAUUGGGGGAAGGCUUACGUCUUGAUGAAUAUCAGCAGUGUCACAGUUUCUAAAUGCCAAUGUGUCAACAUCGUCUUGUUGAUCUUUUGAAUUAGCAAUCCAUGAGCUGGCUUCUCCCAGGUCAGAGGAUGCAAUCUCCUCAAUUGGUUCAACUGCCCCAUUAUUGUCUGAGGUCAAUGUGAAAGCUUCGUCUAGAUUUUCUCUCUCUUUUCCCUCCUGCAUCAUCAUUUCCUUCAAUGUGCAUUCUUCAGGUUCAUGCUUUACCAUGACAGUUUGUGGAGUACCCUUGAUAGAAUUCCCUGAUUCAGUAGUAUUAGAUAAGAGAGUAUCUUCUUCAUUUCUCUUCCCUUUGUCUUUGUCUAUUUCUUCCCCUAGGCUCUCAGUAUUGCUUUCAAUAUUCUUGUAUUCAAGUUCUACUUUGCUUUUUAACGUGUCACUUGAUCCAUUCAAUUCCUCAAAUUCUUUUUCAGAUAAAGACUUGGAUGCCUCUUCUAGAUUACAAUCUAGUCGAGCUUCAUGCAAAUCUUUCUUUUCCUCAACUGUAUCAGUGCUCUCCCAAGGGCUGAUACCGAGCUCUUGAACAUCCUUCAUUAUUUCUGACGUUGACUCUUUAUUAUCGUCAAUUGUUAAAUUAGAUGUUUGUGACAUAUUAAAAUCUUCCAAGUCACUGGAUGUCAUCUUCUCAACUUCAUCUCUCUGUGUUUUCUUUUUUUCAGUAUCUGCCUUGAUUUCUGGUCCUUGGGCUACUAAACUGGAUGCUUUCUCCGAGUGAUCUGCUGCAGAAACGCUUGCUUCAAAAUUUCCAGGUGAGGCUGCUGGAUCCCUGGGAAGUUCUGCCGUUUCCUUCUUGAGUGAACUAAAAUUAUCCAUAUAAUCAAUAUGACCAUCUAUCUCAAGAAUUCCUUUGUUGUCCCUCUCGGUGUCACUCACCUCAUCUUUGCUGUGUAGCCCACUUUCAAGUUCUUGAUCAGUAGACAUAACACCUUCUGAAGUUGUUUUGCCUUUGGCAUCUACACCUGGACUUUCAAUAGGCUGCUCUUCUGCCUCUUCUGCAGUAUCAACCUUUUUAUUGGCCUCCUUCUGGUCAUUGCUCUUUGAAAUUGUGAUUUUUGUAUCAUCUGAUAUUGCUUUUGGGCAAUCUUCUGAUUGCCUAAAAUUGUCUUCGCAAGCAACCUUUUCUACACUUGGUGGGUACAAAAAACAUUCACCAUCUGUGUAUUCAUUGUUGCCUUCUCCCACUUUGAGAUUUGGUUUUAUUUGCUCAUCACCUUUUGUGCCAUCUGUUUGUAGCUCAUCUUCAAAACCAGUGUGCUCCUUUUCCUGGUUUGCCGUGCUUAUGUUGCAUUGUUUGUUUCUUCUAUCAAUAUCAUUCUUAUCUCUUGCCUGUGGGAUGAUGGAAGUUUAUGCUUAAGGUGCCAUAUGAUGCUCAAAAACAGGCUAGUCCAGAGAAAAAAGUAUUAUAUCUUGUAUUGGAUGGGAAAGAAUUGUCCCAUGUAUGCCGAAGAAAGUUAUGAACUUUUGGAAUCCCUAUCAAGUGGAUUCAACUGCCAAAAGACAGAAUUUCAAGCCUUCACACUGCAGACUGGAAGGAGAACCUGUUUCUGUUCCAGGUGUUAUCUCUGCUGAGUUGGCUGGUCCUACUGAUUGAUUGGUCAUUUGCCUAACUGGACAAGCGUGAGUGACACAAGCAGCUUAAUCAAGUAUUUUGUUCCUACCAAUCCUCAUAUUUCUAACUUGAAAUUGCCAACUUCCAAAUUAUGUAUUUGUUGAUGCUGGCCAGCCGAAAGUAAAUAUACUGAUCAUAUACAAUCUUCUUAACACACUCUCUUUCGACGAUUUUUAACGACCCGUUUGGUAAACAGUAUUGUACUAGAUUUGUGUGAAUUUUUGUAAGAAACAUCUCAUGACAAUGUUCAUGGUAAUACAACUCUAUGUUCUAAA